CGGCCCGGAAGUCCUGCAUGUCCCCUCGUCGAAUCACAUGUAUUUCGUGUCUGUUAGCUAGCUGCUGCUUAUAUAAACAACCCAGAAUUAAAAUAUGAAACAUCAGACAGCAGAGUGACAAUAAACAUGCGCUGAAUGAGGAAUGUGACGGAACUUAUUAUACUUAUUCGCUUACGUUUGUAAACUGCGGUAAAGAAAAGUGUUUCGGAAACACUGCUAUUUACAUUUAUACCAACUGUUUUUGUUGUUGUUGUGAAAGAACGCGUUGUAUUUGUUGGUCGUGACGGACCAUCCGUGAAUGAUCUGCUUCAUCUCUUAUGUUGGGGAUGUGAUCCUCUCCCACAUUAUGGUCUCAGCCACUCAUGUGACCAUGCCUGUCCAUCCUUUCCUGGUCCUGCUGCCCAUUCUGGGGCUCCUUGUGUUUCCAUAUUCACCCAUGCAUUUGGUAAAUGGCCUCGGGAUAGUGGAAAAACCAGCGAAUUGUUCCCUGAGUCCUGCAGGUGAACUCUGUUCGAAAGCCCAGAAUGUUUCUUGUGAAAAUGCCACAAAUUUCAACCUGUUAGUGGAACCAGAUAUGAACCUAAAUGGUAAUAU